rnacentral:rRNA from 1 species
GGGUUGUGAGGUUAAGCGACUAAGCGUACACGGUGGAUGCCCUGGCAGUCAGAGGCGAUGAAGGACGUGCUAAUCUGCGAUAAGCGUCGGUAAGGUGAUAUGAACCGUUAUAACCGGCGAUUUCCGAAUGGGGAAACCCAGUGUGAUUCGUCACACUAUCAUUAACUGAAUCCAUAGGUUAAUGAGGCGAACCGGGGGAACUGAAACAUCUAAGUACCCCGAGGAAAAGAAAUCAACCGAGAUUCCCCCAGUAGCGGCGAGCGAACGGGGAGCAGCCCAGAGCCUGAAUCAGUGUGUGUGUUAGUGGAAGCGUCUGGAAAGGCGCGCGAUACAGGGUGACAGCCCCGUACACAAAAAUGCACAUGCUGUGAGCUCGAUGAGUAGGGCGGGACACGUGGUAUCCUGUCUGAAUAUGGGGGGACCAUCCUCCAAGGCUAAAUACUCCUGACUGACCGAUAGUGAACCAGUACCGUGAGGGAAAGGCGAAAAGAACCCCGGCGAGGGGAGUGAAAAAGAACCUGAAACCGUGUACGUACAAGCAGUGGGAGCACAGAGCAAUCUGUGUGACUGCGUACCUUUUGUAUAAUGGGUCAGCGACUUAUAUUCUGUAGCAAGGUUAACCGAAUAGGGGAGCCGAAGGGAAACCGAGUCUUAACUGGGCGUUAAGUUGCAGGGUAUAGACCCGAAACCCGGUGAUCUAGCCAUGGGCAGGUUGAAGGUUGGGUAACACUAACUGGAGGACCGAACCGACUAAUGUUGAAAAAUUAGCGGAUGACUUGUGGCUGGGGGUGAAAGGCCAAUCAAACCGGGAGAUAGCUGGUUCUCCCCGAAAGCUAUUUAGGUAGCGCCUCGUGAAUUCAUCUCCGGGGGUAGAGCACUGUUUCGGCAAGGGGGUCAUCCCGACUUACCAACCCGAUGCAAACUGCGAAUACCGGAGAAUGUUAUCACGGGAGACACACGGCGGGUGCUAACGUCCGUCGUGAAGAGGGAAACAACCCAGACCGCCAGCUAAGGUCCCAAAGUCAUGGUUAAGUGGGAAACGAUGUGGGAAGGCCCAGACAGCCAGGAUGUUGGCUUAGAAGCAGCCAUCAUUUAAAGAAAGCGUAAUAGCUCACUGGUCGAGUCGGCCUGCGCGGAAGAUGUAACGGGGCUAAACCAUGCACCGAAGCUGCGGCAGCGACGCUUAUGCGUUGUUGGGUAGGGGAGCGUUCUGUAAGCCUGUGAAGGUGUACUGUGAGGUAUGCUGGAGGUAUCAGAAGUGCGAAUGCUGACAUAAGUAACGAUAAAGCGGGUGAAAAGCCCGCUCGCCGGAAGACCAAGGGUUCCUGUCCAACGUUAAUCGGGGCAGGGUGAGUCGACCCCUAAGGCGAGGCCGAAAGGCGUAGUCGAUGGGAAACAGGUUAAUAUUCCUGUACUUGGUGUUACUGCGAAGGGGGGACGGAGAAGGCUAUGUUAGCCGGGCGACGGUUGUCCCGGUUUAAGCGUGUAGGCUGGUUUUCCAGGCAAAUCCGGAAAAUCAAGGCUGAGGCGUGAUGACGAGGCACUACGGUGCUGAAGCAACAAAUGCCCUGCUUCCAGGAAAAGCCUCUAAGCAUCAGGUAACAUCAAAUCGUACCCCAAACCGACACAGGUGGUCAGGUAGAGAAUACCAAGGCGCUUGAGAGAACUCGGGUGAAGGAACUAGGCAAAAUGGUGCCGUAACUUCGGGAGAAGGCACGCUGAUAUGUAGGUGAAGUCCCUCGCGGAUGGAGCUGAAAUCAGUCGAAGAUACCAGCUGGCUGCAACUGUUUAUUAAAAACACAGCACUGUGCAAACACGAAAGUGGACGUAUACGGUGUGACGCCUGCCCGGUGCCGGAAGGUUAAUUGAUGGGGUCAGCGCAAGCGAAGCUCUUGAUCGAAGCCCCGGUAAACGGCGGCCGUAACUAUAACGGUCCUAAGGUAGCGAAAUUCCUUGUCGGGUAAGUUCCGACCUGCACGAAUGGCGUAAUGAUGGCCAGGCUGUCUCCACCCGAGACUCAGUGAAAUUGAACUCGCUGUGAAGAUGCAGUGUACCCGCGGCAAGACGGAAAGACCCCGUGAACCUUUACUAUAGCUUGACACUGAACAUUGAGCCUUGAUGUGUAGGAUAGGUGGGAGGCUUUGAAGUGUGGACGCCAGUCUGCAUGGAGCCGACCUUGAAAUACCACCCUUUAAUGUUUGAUGUUCUAACGUGGACCCGUGAUCCGGGUUGCGGACAGUGUCUGGUGGGUAGUUUGACUGGGGCGGUCUCCUCCUAAAGAGUAACGGAGGAGCACGAAGGUUGGCUAAUCCUGGUCGGACAUCAGGAGGUUAGUGCAAUGGCAUAAGCCAGCUUGACUGCGAGCGUGACGGCGCGAGCAGGUGCGAAAGCAGGUCAUAGUGAUCCGGUGGUUCUGAAUGGAAGGGCCAUCGCUCAACGGAUAAAAGGUACUCCGGGGAUAACAGGCUGAUACCGCCCAAGAGUUCAUAUCGACGGCGGUGUUUGGCACCUCGAUGUCGGCUCAUCACAUCCUGGGGCUGAAGUAGGUCCCAAGGGUAUGGCUGUUCGCCAUUUAAAGUGGUACGCGAGCUGGGUUUAGAACGUCGUGAGACAGUUCGGUCCCUAUCUGCCGUGGGCGCUGGAGAAUUGAGGGGGGCUGCUCCUAGUACGAGAGGACCGGAGUGGACGCAUCACUGGUGUUCGGGUUGUCAUGCCAAUGGCACUGCCCGGUAGCUAAAUGCGGAAGAGAUAAGUGCUGAAAGCAUCUAAGCACGAAACUUGCCCCGAGAUGAGUUCUCCCUGACUCCUUGAGAGUCCUGAAGGAACGUUGAAGACGACGACGUUGAUAGGCCGGGUGUGUAAGCGCAGCGAUGCGUUGAGCUAACCGGUACUAAUGAACCGUGAGGCUUAACCUUACAACGCCGAAG